rnacentral:snRNA from 13 species
AACCUUGCGCAGUGGCAAUAUCGUAAUCAAUGAAGUUCUACUGAGAUGCGAUUAUUGCUAGUUGCUGUAGUUAUAUAGGAUCGGCAUCGCUUCGAAUCCGCAACGUGUUGUGUCUGAUAACGUGAAACCGCCAUCUGCCUAAAUCUCUCAUGGGA